CUGCAGAGGUUCCUCUAGGUUUUCUUGCCUGAGCAGACCUGGAUUUCUUUAUGGCGCCGGAGUUAGACGUAGCAGGAACUUCCACAAGCGGUUCAGAGAUCGGACCAUCGUUACCUUUGACAAUUGGGCUGAUAUACCUAUUGUCCUCGCUGUUUUUAGAGGUUUGACUAAACGUUGCUGGGAUCGCGUCGCUUUUUGUUCAGCCUCCGCCGCUUCUCUUUGUGCAUUUGCACGUUCGAGUUUUUCAACGCGUUCUCUCAAUAAAUCGUUUUCUUUUUUUAGCGCAGCUUCUCUUUCGGUAAGUGCAGCAUUUUUAUCUGCCAGAGCUACAGAGACUUCACGUACUCUUGAUA